rnacentral:misc_RNA from 1 species
CUUCCUCAUGUGUUGCCGCCUCACUCUCCUCUCCCUCAUAUCACCAUGAAUGAAACUCCAUUAAAGCUUGUUUCAAGCUUUAAAACCUUUACUAACCCUAAUUUCUCCCAUAACCACUUCAUAAAACCUUGUGUUUGAGCUUUGAGAAGAAGAUUGAAGAAGCAAAGAAAAAGAAAAAAGAAGAGAAUUGAAGAAUUGGACAUCAAAGAUUGAGGUUAGUGAUUUAAGUUGCAAAAUUAGUUUAUUAGUUGUGUUUAUAGCUUAAUUAACUUAGAAAUAAACUUAAAAUGAAAUGAAAUAAAUUGUUG